rnacentral:rRNA from 1 species
AUUGAACGCUGGCGGCAGGCUUAACACAUGCAAGUCGAGCGAGCGGCGGACGGGUGAGUAAUGUCUGGGAAACUGACUGAUGGAGGGGGCUAACUACUGGAAACGGUAGCUAAUACCGCAUACCAUCAGAUGUGCCCAGAUGGGAUUAGCUAGUAGGGGGGGGAAUGGCGCACCUAGGGGAAGAUCCCUAGCUGGUCUGAGAGGAUGACCGGCCACACUGGAACUGAGACACGGUCCAGACUCCUACGGGAGGCAGCAGUGGGGAAUAUUGCGCAAUGGGCGCAAGCCUGAUGCAGCCAUGCCGCGUGUGUGAAGAAGGCCUUCGGGUUGUAAAGCACUUUCAGCGGGGAGGCGUUACUCGCAGAAAAAGCACCGGCUAACGACGUGCCAGCAGCCGCGGUAAUUC